GAUGAACGCUGGCGGCGUGCUUAACACAUGCAAGUCGAACGAAUCUUAAGGAGCUUGCUCCUUAAGGUUAGUGGCGGACGGGCGAGUAACGCGUGGGUAACCUGCCCUAUAGAGGGGGAUAACGUUUGGAAACGAACGCUAAUACCGCAUAAACUAUGGAUGUUCGCAUGAACAUUAUAGCAAAGAUUUAUCGCUAUAGGAUGGACCCGCGUUGGAUUAGCUAGUUGGUGAGAUAACAGCCCACCAAGUCAACGAUCCAUAGCCGGCCUGAGGGGGUGAGCGGCCACAUUGGGACAGAGGCACGCCCCACCGCGUACGGGAGGAAGCAGUGGGGAAUAUUGCACAAUGGGCGCAAGCAUGAUGCAGCGACGCCGCGUGAGUGAUGUAGGCCUUCGGGUUGUAAAGCUCUGUCUUUUGGGACGAUAAUGACGGUACCAAAGGAGGAAGCCACGGCUUACUACGUGCCAGCCGCCGCAGUAAUAC
rnacentral:rRNA from 1 species